UACGUAGGGGGCAAGCGUUGUUCGGAAUUACUGGGCGUAAAGGGCGCGUAGGCGGCACGGCAAGUCAGGAGUGAAAGCCCUGGGCUCAACCCGGGAACUGCUUUUGAAACUGCCGUGCUAGAGUGCGGAAGGGGCAACUGGAAUCCCCAGUGUAGCGGUGAAAUGCGUAGAUAUUGGGAAGAACACCUGAGGCGAAGGCGGGUUGCUGGGCCGACACUGACGCUGAGGCGCGAAAGCCAGGGGAGCGAACGGG
rnacentral:rRNA from 1 species